CCAGACAGAGCCCAGCCACUGACCAGCCAAAUCCAGCCAGAGCCCAGCCAGAGCCCAGCCAGAGCCCAGCCAGAGCCCAGACAGAGCCCAGCCACUGACCAGCCAAACCCAGCCAGAGCCCAGCCAGAGCCCAGACAGAGCCCAGACAGAGCCCAGCCACUGACCAGCCAAACCCAGCCAGAGCCCAGCCAGAGCCCAGCCACUGCCCAGACAGAGUCCAGCCACUGACCAGCCAAACCCAGCCAGAGUUCAGACACUGCCCAGCCACUGCCCAGCCACUGCCCAGACAGAGCCCAGCCACUGACCAGCCAAACCCAGCCAGAGCCCAGCCAGAGCCCAGCCAGAGCCCAGACAGAAACCAGCCACUGACCAGCCAAACCCAGCCAGAGCCCAGCCAGAGCCCAGCCACUGACCAGACAGAGUCCAGCCACUGACCAGACACUGCCCAGCCCAUGCCCAGCCCAAGCCCAGUCCAAGCCCAGUCCAAGCCCAGUUCAUGCCCAGCCACUGCCCAGCCCAAGCCCAGCCAAAGUCCAGACCAUGCCCAGCCAAUUCCCAACCCAUGCCCAGCCCAUGCCCAGCCCAAGCCCAACCAAAGCUCAGCCAAAGCCCAGUUCAUGCCCAGCCCAAGCCCAGCCAAAGCCCAGCCCAUGCCCAGCCCAAGCCCAGUCCAAGCCCAGUUCAUGCCCAGCCACUGCCCAGCUCAUGCCCAGCCAAAGCCCAGCCAAAGUCCAGACCAUGCCCAGCCAAUUCCCAAGCCAUGCCCAGCUCAUGCCCAGCCAAAGCCCAGCCCAAGCCCAGCCACUGCCCAGCCCAUGCCCAGCCCAAGCCCAGUCCAAGCCCAGUUCAUGCCCAGCCACUGCCCAGCCCAUGCCCAGCCCAAGCCCAGCCCAAGCCCAGCUCAUGCCCAGCUCAUGCCCAGCCAAAGCCCAGCCCAAGCCCAGCUCAUGCCCAGCCAAAGCCCAGCUCAUGCCCAGCUCAGGCCCAGCCAAAGCCCAGCCCAUGCCCAGCCAAAGCUCACCUCAUGCCCAGCCCAUGCCCGGCCAGUGCCCAGCCCAGCUCUGCUGUCCCUCCAGGGUGUCCCCUCCUGAUCACAGCCACCCCAGGGCUGGGGGGCUCCCAGGAAAGCUCCAGGGCUCCUUCUGCUCCUCCUUUGGGAAGAGCUUGGUGGCUCUGAGGGGUCGAGGGCACGGAGAGUUUUGGGUACCUCUGUGCCAGCCCAAGCAGGACCAGAGCAGCCAGGGCAUUCCUGGCUUUGCCUCAUUUUAAUGGAAUUCCUUCUGACUGGGGGAGUCACACGGGGCUUUUCUCACCCACUCAGUGAAAACUGAUGUGUUGGAACAGGAUGGCAGCUCCUGCAGAGCCUGACCCAGGACUGGGAUCUUCAACCAACAGGUUCAUCAGAUGCUGAAGCCAGCCUUGGAAGCACCUUUCGUUCAGCUGAGGGUGUUGAGCUCCAUUUCUUCUAUGAAUGUGCAGCUUUUGGGGAAGGUGGCGUGGCCUUGAGCAGAGGAAAACCUGGCAGAAAUAUGGGAACCUCCACCUGCUGGUGCAUCCCAAGGAGCCAAAAUGAAUCCAAGGUGAAUGAAGAGUUAUUUUUUAAACCAAACCCCCCUUUUCAUCCUCCAGGUUUCCAGUAAAACCAACCCCUUGCCUCACACAAACCUAUUGGAAAUGCAUUUCUGUGCUGUAGCACACGAGGAAGCGUUUCCCUGCCAAGUCCCAGGUUCCAAAGCAUUUUGGCACCUCCAGAAAACAAACAGCCUUGGGAUUGCUUUUAUUUGGGGAGUGCAGAUUGCAGCAGGAGCCCUGAUCUGAGCAUGGCUAAGGCUGCUGCCCAGGGCUGGGCUGAAUUCCAGCUGCUGCUGAAGCUGGGGGUGUCCCUGCAGGAGAGCUGGAGGACAAACAGCACUGGGGGAAUGUGGGUGUCUGAGAAACUGAAAUGAGAGGUGGUUUGUGUGCUGGAAAAUUAUUCCAUGGAUUCAGAUUGAAAAAAACCCCAAACACAGAAAAUCCUUAUUUUUUGAGCAGCCUGAUCCUUUCCAAUCCUGGAAUUCUCUGAUAUGAGCAACCCUGAAGCCAGGAGUCCUGAAGGAAAAAUAUCACUUUGGGAAUGUGAGUGUCUGAGAAACUGAAAUGAGAGGUGGUUUGUGUGUUGGAAAAUCAUUCCAUGGAUUGGGUUUUUUUAAAAACACACAGAAAAUCCUUAAUUUUUGAGCAGCCUGAUCCUUUCCAAUCCUGGGAUUCUCUGAUAUUAUUCUAUGAUAAGCCUGGAGAGGUGAAGGAAAAAUAUCACUUUGGGAAUAUGGUUUUUACAGGAGCUUUUCUCUAAAAAGCAUCAACAAUCUGAGCCUCUUACAGAGAAGCUGGCCAUCCUGAUAUUUCCAAGGAUAGCAGAGAUUGUCCUGCACAGCAGAACAAAAGAGAAUGACAUGGUUGCAACACUGAACAAGAAUUACUUCUGGGUAAUGCUGAGAAAGGAGAUAAGAAAUCAGAAUUUACAGAAAGAGGCGGGAAGUGAGAUAACAGCUUUACUGCUUGCAAUCAAAAAUUGUAAUCGACCCUACAAUAAAUACA